CGGGCGCGACGCGCUUAUCUCUGGUCUGAGCGGCCCCUCCUCCCUCAGCAUCGGCGGCCUCACCGUUCGCCGGGGGGCGGCCUGCUUUGGUUCCUCUUACUCAGGUAUUUUAUUUAUUCAUGAGAGACACAGAAAGAGGCAAAGACACAGGCAGAGGGAGAAGCAGGUCCCAUGCAGGGAGCCCAACGCGGGACACGGAUCCCAGGACCCCAGGAUCACGCCCUGGGCCAAAGGCAGGCGCCAAACCUCUGAGCUACCCAGGGAUCCCCAUAUUGUAUUCUUUUUAAAAAAAAAUAUUCACAGCUCUUGGCAGAGUAACUGGUCAAUGUGAGGUGCUCACAAAGUGAGCAAAUAUUGAAGGGAAUGAAUUCUUAAGUAUGUGACUUAGAUGAAAUUGUAAUGUAUGUUUAUGGGGCAUCAUUCAUAGUAUUGGGGAAAUAAUCAUUGUAAGUCAUCAUUUCUGUCAAGUAUAUAAUUGAGACAUUGGAAUGGUGUGAGGAAAGACAGAAGCAGAACAGCACAGGCCAUCUUCACAGAGAGCAGAGCACUCCAGUCUGGCCAGAAUAGGAUAUAAGCCAUAAGAGGUAAAGCAAGAGGAGAGAAGAUUGGAAGAUAAAUUUAUCUGAGGCAGUGUUGUAAAAAGAUUUCUAGUGCCAUUAAGCUUGGACUAGCUGGGGAGUCAUUUGAGCAAUUCCUUGACCCAUGUUAUGUCGUUAGAUAAGAACCCCGUCUUCAUAUUCCCAGUAGCUAGCAUGAUACCUGUUAAUAAACACCGAAUACAAAUGUCGGGUUGAAAGGAGAUGAGACUGGUGAUAGCUCACAUUUGUUGAAUACUUGAAAUGUGUUUGGGGCUGUUAUAAGUGCUUUACAUGUAUUUUUUUUUCUUUUUAAAAAUUUAUUUAUUUAUUUAGAACACUUGUAGGGGUGGGAGAUGAGAGGGAGAGAAAAUCUCAAGCAGACUGCUGAGCACGAGCCCAAUGAUGGCUAGGUCUCAUGGCCCUGAGAUCAUAACCUGAGCCAAAGCCAAGAGUCUGAAAUUUAACCAACUGAGCUACCCAGGUGCCCCAGUGCUGUUAUAUGUAUUAACUCUUUUAAUUCCUUUCUUAUAACCUUAUGAAGUAGAUGCUAUUAUUAUCAUCCCCAUUUUUCAAAUGAAGCAAUUGAAGCAAUAGAUGUUAAAUAAUUUACUUGUGGUCAAACUUUUAGUAAGUGAUCUUAAGCUGGGAUGUGAACCCAAGUAGUCUGCCCAUGGAUGAUCUGUUUUUCUGGUUGCUAAACACAGCAGGUAGUUUAAGAUCUAGGACUAAAGUUGAGAAAAAAGAUCAGGAGAGGUAGAUUUGGGAGUCAUAUUUGAAUUGAUGUUUGAUUCAGUCAUGCAGAUAGAUGAGCUUUAUAAGGAAGUAUAAAAUAGAAUUUAGUUUUGAGUCGAAGAUUGAACUUUGGGUUAGAUCCUCAUUCGGGGAACAGAAUAGGAAGUAGAACCAACGGAAGAGCAUCAAACAAGAAAGAAAAGCAAAAUUACAUAAUAUGAAGAUGCCAGAACAAGACAAGGCCCCAGUAAGGGCUUCAUGUUUGUUGAAUAAAUGACUAAUCAGGAGUUGUGCUUGUUUGUGCCAUGGACUUCUUUGACAGUCUGCUAGAGCCUUAGGACCUUGUUUGACAAUACCAUUUGUAAAAGUAUAAAUAAAAUACAUAAUUAUCAGAAUUAUGUUUAAAGAAAUGUGUGAUGAUCCAGUGAUAUGUGCUUCCAUGUUAAUAUAAUACAUGUGGUUCUUAAGUAACAAAUAAAAUGAUUUAUUGGCAAGUCUAACAACUUAUUAAAUUAUAGAGAUAUUUUGAGAUAUCUGUAUGUGACAUGAAAAUAUUAAUUGAUUUCUAUUGAUGGAAACAUUGCAGGUACUGCUAGUACUACAAAGAUUUGCUUUCUACAUUCCUAAACUUAAAUUUCAGUUUGAUGUUAUUGGAAAUAAAAGUGACUUUAAAAAAUUCCA